rnacentral:rRNA from 1 species
CCUACGGGAGGCUGCAGUGAGGAAUAUUGGUCAAUGGGCGGAAGCCUGAACCAGCCAAGUCGCGUGAGGGACUAAGGCCCUACGGGUCGUAAACCUCUUUUGCCGGGGAUCAGUGCCCAGCUCGCGAGCUGGGAUGGAGCGUACCCGGAGAAAAAGCACCGGCUAACUCCGUGCCACCAGCCGCGGUAAUACGGAGGAUCCGAGCGUUAUCCGGAUUUAUUGGGUUUAAAGGGAGCGUAGGUGGAUUGUUAAGUCAGUUGUGAAAGUUUGCGGCUCAACCGUAAAAUUGCAGUUGAAACUGGCAGUCUUGAGUACAGUAGAGGUGGGCGGAAUUCGUGGUGUAGCGGUGAAAUGCUUAGAUAUCACGAAGAACUCCGAUUGCGAAGGCAGCUCACUGGACUGCAACUGACACUGAGGCUCGAAAGUGUGGGUAUCAAACAGGAUUAGAUACCCGGGUAGUC